rnacentral:rRNA from 1 species
GCCUCCGGCCACACUGCCCAGGGUGUGUCUGUUCUCAGAAACUAAGCAGGGCUGGGCCUGCUCAGUACCUGGAUCCGAGACUGCCUGGGAAAAUCAGGUGAUGUAGGUU